rnacentral:tRNA from 1 species
GGCAGCGUAGCCAAGUGGUAAGGCAAGGGUCUGCAAAAUCCUUAUGCCCGGGUUCGAAUCCCGGCGCUGCCU